UGGGAAAUUUUCCCCAAUGGGGGAAACCCGGACGGACCAAUACCGCUUGAGGAAUGACGCCUUAUGGGUGGUAACCUUCUUUUUUCAGGGAGGAAUAAAUGAGGGGUCCUUGAAGAAUAAGCUUCGGCUAAUUCCGUGCCAGCAGCCGCGGUAAGACGGAGGAUCCAAGUGUUUUCGGGAAUCACUGGGGGUAAAGCUUCUGUAGGUGGUUUAAUAAUUAAACUGUUAAUUCUGGAGGUUCACCCUGGAACCCCCAUUGGAAACUAUUAGACUAGAGUAUAGUAGGGGUAAAGGAAAUUUCCAGUGAAGCGGUGAAAUGCGUAGAGAUUGAAAAGAACACCGAUGGGGAAGCCACUUUACUGGGCUAUUACUACCACUGAGAGAGGAAAGUUAGGUUAGCAAAUGGGAUUAGAUACCUUGUUAUUCCACCCGGUAAACGAUUGAUCUUACCCGUUGGAUACUAUAUUAUUCAGUGGCGCAGCUAACGCAUUAAGCAUCCCGCCUGGGGAGUACGGUCGCAAGAUUA
rnacentral:rRNA from 1 species